rnacentral:rRNA from 1 species
AUUACCGCGGCUGCUGGUGCGGAAUAUUGCGGGGCCUACGAAAACCUGAUGCACGGAAUUUUCGUGAAUGAACGAAAUUCCGACCGAUCAACUUCGCGCGAACGAAGAAAUAUGACGGUACCUGACUCUUUUAUCCCGGCUAACUACGUGCCUUGCCCCGCCCUAAUGA